rnacentral:lncRNA from 1 species
CAUACACCCCCACCCGUGGACCACCACCCCCAGGUUCCCCAACCCCAGAGGUGGCCACUCGACCUCAGGUGUGGUGGGGCUCAGGGUGGCCAGCCGUGGUGCCUGCUCUCGGUCUAUACCACGCCCGAGGCAUGGGUUCCGUCCAAAGCAGUGGUCUUCGAGUGCCCCACACCUCGCAGGUCCCGAGCUGUGGGUAACCACCAAGGACACAACCGAAUGUCUAGGAAACAAUAAGCUCUGCUGGACCUCCUACUAAUCUCAUCAGCUAAUUCGGGGGGUGGUGGUUAGGAAGCAAAAAGGGCAAAACUUGGGGGAAAGUCUGGGUUCUCUCGCUCAACCACGGCCAUGGCCGCGGCGCCAGGCACGUUUCCUUUGCAGCAGCGCUACGUGGUCCGCAUGCCAGAGCCCCGCCGCAGCCCUCUCUCGGCACCCGCUCCCAGCCAAGGGCCGGUACAGCACCAGAAAUAAUGAUCUUCGCAUUUACGCGACUAAAACUCCCCUUUUUUAGAAUGCCGACUGAAUCACAACGCAAGGGCGCCAGUGGUACGGGAGAGAAGGAAGGAAUUUUUUUCUUCAUCGAUAAUCCUUUAAAAGGCAUAUAUUAUGCCUUUGAAAAGAAAAGUGCAGAGAAUCACAGUGUCUGUGUUCAUUUUCUGGCUGUAAACUUAAACUCUGACGAACGCACGCGGGCUGCGAGCGAGCCAGGCAGCCCAAGCAGUGCCGGCUCCCUCCAGCGGGGGCGCUGCAGGCCUCUCUUUCCACUCGCACCCGCCCGCGCCGGCCGUUCCGCGGCAGACAGCGCAGGCAAGCACACGAAUCGCCAAAGGCCAGUCCCGCCGAGCCCGGCCAAGCCCACCCGGCACCUAACAUUGCACAGGGAGCCAGGGGCCGCCAGCCAGCCAGCCAUAGGAGGAACCACCACGUAUGGGCUAUCAUCGAAACAUGUGGCGCAACCCAGGAAGCGUGGAGCCCCACAGAUUCCACACUUUCACUCUCACCACACCAGAAGCACCAGCACCCAAGAUGAAGGCGGUUUUGUAUUUAAUGAACUGAAUGCUCACAAAGGAUCUUAUUCUGAAAGCCACAGAACAAGUGGGCAGAUAGGAGAAACUGUUGGGGGGGGGAGGGGUGAAGAGGGGACCGAAGAUGCUCUCGAAGGCAACAGGAAUUCUAAAUCGGGCACUCAAGGGAAACGCUCCUGGGCAGAGUGGCUAGGAAAAGCUUCCACGGGGAAGGAGGAAUCGAGGGUUGAGGCCUUCAAACGCGGAACUUGCUUAGGCGAAGAAAACAUUCCCAUUCGGAAGACCCUCCAGCGCGGAGACCAGGAAUCUGAACAUGCAGAGGGUACUAUGAGAGAUCGGCUUGGCUCAAGCUGGGAACUGGCUUGCCAAAGUUGAGGGAGAAAAUAAAUGCUAGCGAUAAUGCCCCA